UGAGGAAUCUUGCACAAUGGGCGCAAGCCUGAUGCAGCGACGCCGCGUGGAGGAUGAAGGUCUUAGGAUUGUAAACUCCUGUUAAGUGGGAAGAAAGGCUUAUUCCUAAUAUGAAUAAGCAAUGACGGUACCAUUAAAGAAAGCACCGGCUAACUUCGUGCCAGCAGCCGCGGUAAUACGAGGGGUGCAAGCGUUAUUCGGAAUUAUUGGGCGUACAGGGCGCGUAGACGGCAUAUUAAGUCAACUGUUAAAUUCCUUGGCCUAACUGAGGUCCAGCAGUAGAUACUGAUUGUGCUUGAGGGUGGAAGAGAGAAGUGGAAUUCUCGGAGUAGCGGUAAAAUGCGUAGAUCUCGAGAGGAACACCGAUGGCGAAGGCAGCUUCUUGGUCCAUACCUGACGUUGAGGCGCGAAAGCGUGGGGAGCAAACAGGAUUAGAUACCCUGGUAGUCCACGCCGUAAACGAUGACCACUAGACGUUAAUUCUGUUU
rnacentral:rRNA from 1 species